GGGGCAGUAGGGUAGCCAGGUUAUCCUCGUGGCUUUGGGAGCCAUGGACCCCAGUUCAAAUCUGGGCUGCCCCA
rnacentral:tRNA from 5 species